CAAUAAAUGACUGCAUGAGUAGGUUUUAAGGUAGGUGGUCUUGGUCUAACAUCAGACUCAAGAGGAUGCCUGUUCCGAAGAAGGAUUACAUAUUUAGGCUGAGGCUUUGCGAUGUCCUUAAUAAAAUUGUCUAUAGAGUCAAAUUAAGAUCCAAGAGCAUUAGUCAGGGCACCAAAUAAUUACACAGUUAUUUCCUAAAGUGAGUAUUCAAAACUAAUUUCACAUUUAAGGCCAGAGAAGCCAUAUUAAAGGAAUAGCUGAAAGUAACUGUUUCUGGACUAGGCUUACUGGGUUUUACGGUGGUAUGCGGUCCGGCAAUAUACCAUGGAUGGCCGAGGAUGAUGUGCCAGAGUGUGAGGACUAUAAUGGCCCUGGCCUGUUGUGGGAGAACAUUGGACUUCUGGGACAUCUAUGACCAUAGGGGGAAUCUGAUGGAUCUCCAUGGAGCUGAGAUGUUUUCCUGUUUGGUUACUUUAAAAUUAAAUUUGAAAUUUACUUUGAAUUCUCACUUAUUGAAUAGUUCUGACAGAGUCAACCUUCUCUCACAUGCUUUCAACUCAAAGUGAGGGCAAGGACAGUGAGUAGGCUUUGAUCCGCAUUGCUUGCUGUCUCCCACCUUUGAUGGAAACUCUGGUUCCAUAUCCUUUCUGCCGACAACUCUAUGUCACUAUAGCUGUCCCAUUCCUCAUUCAUUGCGUCAUUAUAGCCAUCCACUUUCUCCUUUGCUGUGUCACUGUCUCCAUAAAUAACCUUUCUCAGCCUUACAGACAGGUAGAUUUUUUUAAAAGGCAAAUAUGUUAUACAUUGAUAUCAGUGUAGGGUCAAAAUAUCGAGUUAAGUCCUGGCAGAUAGAAAGGGGACAGAAUAUAAUUUGAAGAAGGAUAUGCUUUUGUGCAAUGUGGGUAUUUUUCUUCCACACUGUGGUCCGUUUUCCACAGAAGAAUCCUACGAAAUAUUAUUGAGUGAACUUCAGCAUGAAUGUCUGCAUUAGUAAAAACAGCAUCCAUUGUAUAUGCAGAACUGCGGUGAGAAGUCUGAAACACAAUGCCUGUCCAUGUUGAUUUGCAUGUCAAGCUGGGAACUCUGGGAUAGUUUUGAAAAGAUGCUUUGUCAAGAUGCUAUGCCCAAGAAGAACCUCUUAAAUUCCAACUAAAGAUAUGCAGGUGAUGCACAACAACAUUUUUUUGUAUUUGCUCUGUAGGGAGUUGUAUUGUGUGUGGCCUCCCCAAAAUCUGUUUGGUACCUGGCUAUAUGCUCUAAGAGAGACUUCAACUUCCAAACCAGAACCAGCAUAAUGCUGAUGAGACGCACCUGUGUGAGAUUAAAGUUCAGGAUAUAUAAACUUCUAAAGCAGGCUAACAUCUGAAAAUGAAACCAUUUUUUUCAUGCAAACUGCGUCAGUAAGAGCCCGGUGAGGUGUGGCUAGGGCCGCAGAAACAGAAACAAAAGUGAUUUAACUCCUAAGUGAAAGAAAAUUGAACAGUGAGACUGCAGGGGCAUGAUCUACACACCAAAUCUGCUUCAUUUAGCUAAAGUUGUUCUUGUGCCUAUAGAGUCCCUUUAAGGUUUGCAUUGCUUCCAAGAAUUUCAAAAACUGAUCUGAUAGGUUGAACCAAACUGCUUGUGGAAUGUGAUUGAUCCUUUUGGAUUAUAGCACAUGCUUUGAUUUAAAAACCGCAGUGUUUAAGCUGGGAACUUUGAAAUAGUUGUGGAGACAUGAUUUCUCAAGUUUUUAUGCCCAAGAAGGAUCCCUCAAAGUCCAACUUGAGAAAUGAGAUAUACUUAACUGAUGUUCACCCUCCGUACUUGAUGUUCUCCAUUCACCUAAAUGUUGUCAGAGCAAAACAGAAUCUAUGAAUGCUCUAAAUUGGCAUUGCCGAUUUAAAUAAAUAAAUGUGAAGUAAAUCACAACUGUAACUUGAUGAAACGUUAAAGAUGACAAUAGAUAGUACAUCCUUUUUAACAAAGACCUUUCUAUAUUAAGAUGUGGAAUCACACUUGAAAUAUCUGCAAAACGAUCUUCAAAUCUGCUUCUUUCACAUUUCUGUUCUAUUGUUUAACCUUAUGUGUACAAAAAAACAUACUGUGAUAUAGAUAUUUUUAUGUCUUUUAUAGAUCUCUUCCUGUAUUUCAACGGAAAACGCCUACAUUGUUUGAUUGGACAAUAAUUGAAGAGAGAAUUUGGAAUUUUAGAUCAAAAUAACAAGUGGAAAUUUAGCUAGAUUUGACAUUUUUUCCAGUUAAGCUAUUAUGAUCAAGAAUGGCAACAUUCCAUUUAAAUUUCAUGAGAAUUCCUGAUUUAACAAAUAACCUAUAGAAUGUAAGAAACAUAGAAACAUAGAAACAUAGAAUGUGACGGCAGAUAAGAACCAUUUGGCCCAUCUAGUCUGCCCAAUUUUCUAAAUACUUUCAUUAGUCCCUAGCCUUACCUUAUAGUUAGGAUAGCCUUAUGCCUAUCCCACGCAUGCUUAAACUCCUUUUACUGUGUUAACCUCUACCACUUCAGCUGGAAGGCUAUUCCAUGCAUCCACUACCCUCUCAGUAAAGUAAUACUUCCUGAUAUUAUUUUUAAACCUUUGUCCCUCUAAUUUAAGACUAUGUCCUCUUGUUGUGGUAGUUUUCCUUCUUUUAAAUAUAGUCUCCUCCUUUACUGUGUUGAUUCCCUUUGUAUAUUUAAAUGUUUCUAUCAUAUCCCCCCUGUCUUGUCUUUCCUCCAAGCUAUACAUGUUAAGAUCCUUUAACCUUUCCUGGUAAGUUUUAUCCCGCAAUCCAGAGGUACCCCACUGGUGACAAGUCCAAGCUUCGAAUAUAUUCCAUUAAAUACAACCCUCUGUUGCCUGUUACUCAGCCACUGCCUUACCCAUUCAACAAUAUUUGAAUCCAAACUUAAAGAUUGCAGUUUAUUGAUAAGCCUUCUAUGUGCAACAGUGUCAAAAGCCUUACUGAAAUCUAGGUAAGCAAUGUCUACUGCACCACCCUGAUCUAUAAUUUUAGUUACCCAAUCAAAAAAAAAAUCAAUAAGAUUAGUUUGGCAUGAUCUCCCUGAAGUAAACCCAUGUUGUCUCUGAUCUUGAAAUCCAUGUGUUUUUAGAUGUUCAUCAAUCCUAUCCUUUAACAUGGUUUCCAUCACUUUCCCCACUACUGAAGUAAGGCUUACUGGCCUAUAGUUGCCCCACUCCUCCCUAUUACCUUUCUUGUAAAUGGGCACAACAUUCGCUAACUUCCAAUCUUCUGGGACUACUUCUGUUAACAAUGAUUGGUUAAAUAAAUCUGUUAAUGGUUUUGUUAGUACACCACUAAGCUCUUUUAAUAGCUUUGGGUGUAUUCCAUCAGGUCCCAUUGACUUAUUUGUCUUUACUUUUGACAGCUGAAAUAGAACCUCUUCCUCUGUAAACUCACGUGUAAUAAAUGACUCAUUUAUCCUUUUUCUCAACUGAGGUCCCUUUCCUUCAUUUUCUUCUGUAAAUACAGAACAAAAAUAUUAAUUGAGGCAGUCAGCCUGACCUUUAUCCUCUUCUAUAUACCUUCCUUCUUUUGUUUUUAAUCUAACUAAUCCUUGUUUUACUUUUCUUUUCUCAUUUAUGUAUCUAAAAAAUGUUUUAUCCCCCUUUUUUACUGACUGUGUUAUUUUCUCUUCUGUGUGUGAUUUGGAAGCUCUUAUAACUUGCUUAGCCUCUUUCUGCCUAAUCUUAUAGAUCAUUUUGUCUCCCUCACUCUGGGUUUUUUAUAAUUCCUAAAUGCUAACUUUUUGUUUUUAACUAUUUUGGCCACAUCUGCGGAGUACCACAGUGGUUUCUUGAAUUUUUUGCUUUUACUGACAAGCCUAAUGCAAUUUUCUGUUGCCUUCAAUAGUACAACUUUUAAAUAAUCCCAUUUUUCUUGGACUCCAUUUAAAUUGCUCCAGUCUGAUAAUGACUCCUCUACCCAUAUUCUAAUUUUAGAAAAGUCUGUUUUUGUAAAGUCUAAAACUUUUGUUUUUGUGUGGUGUGACUCAGUCACUGUUCUUAUAUUAAACUACACUGACUGAUGAUCACUGGAUCCUAAACUUUCACCUACAGUAAUAUCUGAUACCAAAUCUCCAUUUGUUAACACUAAAUCUAGUAUGGCCUCUUUACGAGUUGGCUCCUCAACAACUUGUUUUAGAGACAAUCCCAGUAGGGAGUUUAGAAUAUGUGUGCUCCUGGCACAAGUAGCUAAUUUUGUUUUCCAAUUUACAUCAGGAAGAUUAAAGUCACCCAUGAUGAUAACUUCCCCUUCAUUGUCAUUUUAGCUAUUUCCUCAACUAGUAGAUUAUCUAACUCUUCUAUUUGUCCUGGGGGCCUAUAAAUCACACCUACACGAGUUACUGUGUGAUUACCAAAUUCUAACGUAACCCAAACGGACUCUAUGUUUGUCUCACUAACUUUUAUUAGGCUAGAUUUUAUGCUAUCCUUCACAUACAAGGCCACCCCUCCCCCUUUCUUGCCUUCCCUAUCUUUUCUAUAUAAAGAGUACCCUGGUAUUGCUGUGUCCCAGUCAUUUUUCUCAUUGUACCAUGUCUCAGUAACAGCGACUAAAUCUACACUAUCAGUUGCCAUUAUUGCUACAAGUUCAUGGAUCUUAUUCCCUAAACUGCGAGCAUUUGUAGACAUGACUCUAAGCUUAUCAUUUUUAACACACUUGCUACAGGCACCUUCUGUCCUUGUUUUGGGGGACAAUUGGAUUGAUGUUUUAUCACCCUUUUGCCCCCCCCUCCUAGUUUAAAUACAUCCUAGCAAAACCUCUGAACUGCUCACUAAGAACAUUUGUUCCCUUUUGAGAAAGAUGCAAACCAUCUUUUUUGUACAGCUUAUCUCCAUUCCAAACAGAGCUACCAUGAGAAAUAAAGCCAAAUCCUUUUGAGCAGGGUCCUCUUCAACCUAUCGUUCCUGUAAGUUUUCUUGUAAUUGUCCUAUUUAUGGUUAAAUCCCCCCUCUCAUAAUAUUGUAAAGCGCUACGGAAUCUGUUGGCGCUAUAUAAAUGGCGAUAAUAAUAAUAACCAUGAAUAUAUUGUAUAUUCGUGAUAUGCCAGUUUUUAGAAUAAAAUCUAGAGGAAAGUUUGGCAAAAGUAUAUUAUGUUUCUAAAGAGCAUUUAAAAAAACCUCCAAGCCUCUUUUUGCCAAAAAGUAAUGACCCAUAUGGGACUCUCAAUGUUUCUUGAAUUGGAAUCAUUAAUAAUCACACAAAUUCCAUUUAACACACAUCUUUUUUUAUUUUAUUUUUUAUAAAUAUAUAUAUAUUUUUUUUUCUUCAAAUUUUAGUUACUUUAUUCUCUAGGGUUGAGACCACAAACUUUCUGUUCACUGAUUGACUGCCAAUAGCAUCAAACUUAGUCAAUAUUUUUGUACCAAAGUGGUCACCUGAACAAAUUCAGCACGUCUUCUACCCGCUGCGAAAGUUUGCAAAAAACGGCCGCUCGGGAGCAACCCAUGUAAUUCCGCAUCGGUUCAUUAAAUUACUGAAGACACUGCCCAAAAUACUUCCUCUGUUUUGAUAACAUAUAUAAUACAUAUGGAAUAUAAAUGCAGUAGCCCAUUUUAUUUUUUUAUAUGCUCCUAAAAUAACUUCUAAAACUUGAAUUAUUUAGUCUAGUUUUAUGGCAUUAAAAAUAAUACUGUUAUAACUAUAAAAAGUGGAGGGUUUUAAAAAAUAAUCUUAUUUUUCUUGAUUUAAUGCUGAAAAAAAUUGUAAAUGAUGUAGAAAUUGAAAGAUUUGGUUAUAUUUAAAAAUUUUCUGAAUUUUAUGUUUGAAACAUACACACAUUGAUAUCAAGAGAAAUAGAUGUACCCGUUGUUAAAUAGCAAUGCAUAUUAAUUGAAAGGGGCAGUGUAAAGUACAGUACUGUUUUACUGGAGAAAAUUAAUAAUAAAAAAAAAUAUAAAUUUGAAAAAUAUAUAUUAAAAACAUUAAAAAAGAAUUCCUGCAAAAAACAGGAAGUGACUGGGGUCUCUCAAUUAAAUUCUGAUAUUCUUAUUGUGUUGUUUAGAGUGUUGUACAUAUUUCAUAAAUGUCUGUAAACCACUAUAUACAGAAAACAAUGAUUAUGAUGUAAGAAUGAUGUGUAGCGAGAUCCAAUUUAAUAUGUCCAAAAAUAAUUUCAGAGGGAUUAGCAGUUAAAAUAAUAAUUUCUAUAAUUUCUAAGGUGACUAAAAAAAAUUUUGAUCCCUGGUGUACACAAGCUAUAAUGACAACAUUUCCCAAAACGUGUGUGUGUUUAGCUUACAGAUUAACUCAAGAGAUGCUUAAACAGGAUAUUUUACCGUAAUAAAGGCAGUUGGAGAUUCUCUUUGUAAUUUGACUGCAACUCAUAUUGCAGGAACCUAUCCUAUGGCUUUACACAUCUGUGAUAAUUUCCUUCAACUUUUAGAUUUUAUUACCUGGUCGUUAAAUUCACAUUGAGUUCUUAAAACAAAAAUGUUUAAAACAGAUGUGGUUGUUAAACUUACAAUAUGAAUUUUACAGCCUGAUAUUUUAUGAUACUGAAAAAAAAAAAAAAGAACUUAACCGCAAGGUCAAUAAUAGGAGAAUUUGUACGACUGGAGCACGAAGGACAGAAAUUGACCUAACCUAUAGAUCCUCUAAAUUGAUCAGAUAUGUUGCAAAGACAUGUCUUCAGUCUUAUAGUGAGUGAUAUUUUGCAGUUCACUUCAUGUGUUGCAUAUUAGGGUUGGCCUAGAUCAGAUCUAUAGAGAUUGUCAAUUUUAAUAACAUACUGUAAGUACAGGGAAUGUCAACAUUUAGCUCACUAGGUACUGUUUUAAAACAUUUCCCAUAAUUAUUUGGGUAUCCCUAAAUUAGCAUAUAUUAGAAAGCAGUCUAGCUAAUGGCUCAGAUCGAAUUUUUUAAGACAGCUAUACCUGUCGUUGCAUGAGUCGCUAUGAGAGAGGAUGAAAGCUCAGCAGUAAUCUGGAUUAUAUUUCUGGGGGGUGAAUAACGUUCAAGGUUCUCUUUUUAAAAAUGUAAAAAAUAUUAACCAUGUGUCAGUGAUUUACAUUUGAGUAAGUAUCAGCAGUGCAGUGUGUACUACAUAGGUACAGGAUUUAAAUUUUAGAAAAGUAUAUAUGUGUUACCCAUGGCUAUAGGAUAUGUUAAAGGGACACUAUAGGUAUCAAAACAACUGUACAGAUGAUGCCUCUGCAGUCUCACUGCUCAAUUCUCUAUGUUAAAUUAGGCGUUAAAUCAUUUUUGUUUCUCACUCACACAGCUUGCAUGAAAACAAAAGUUUCAUGUUCAAUCAGAUGUUAACUUGCAUUUAAAGCUUUUAUCUCCUGCUUUAUAAAUUGAACUUUAAUCACACACAGGAUUCUGUAGGCUCUAGUUGUGGCGGAACAAACCUCGCCACGUGUUCUUGGAGGGGGCUGCUUGCCCGCCUCCUACCUUCUGACUAUGGCCCUGGCAUAUAUGGCAUUUGAAAACACUAUUUGUGCCCUGUGACAAAACUGGAGAUUGUGCACAAAUAUGACUAUUGUCCAUAUAUUUUAUGAUUCCCUUCGUUUGUUGCACUGUUCCUCAUGUGUUUCAUCUGUUGGUUCGGCUGGAUAGACUACCAGACAAACUGUGGAGUUACUGGGUGGCCACCAUUUCAUGUAUCAAAGGUACAUGGUGAGAACAAUGGAUGAAGCACAUGGUGAGAACAAUGGAUGGCGGCCAUUUUAACUCAAAGACACUGUUUGGACUUUUCUACACGGUGCCAUCUCGCCAUUAUUUGGUGCUCAAAGACAUCGUUCAGUAGUUUUAAACUACAGAACAGGGGACACAUUUAACAGUAAUUAUUUUUCAUAUAGCCUGUAUAUGUUCUGCGGAAUCUGCAUUAAACUGUAUCUUCCAAACUACUGAACGGAUCUGGGUGAAUUUUGGAUAUGUGGUUCACCCAGAUCCCCCGGUUCCGAGGAUAUAUAUAUAUUUUUUAUAGGGUUAUUGCAUGUUUUGGGGUCCCUGUGAUAUGUUUUAUGUCCUCUCUCGCCUUGACUACUGUAAUCCGCUUCUCAGUGGUCUUACGUGCUCCCAACUUGCGCCGUUACAGUUCAUAAUGAAUGCGGCGGCGAGGCUCAUCUUCCUGUCCGCCCGCACCUCCCAUGCCUCACCCUUCUGUCAGUCUCUACAUUGGCUUCCUAUAAAAUAUAGAGCUCAAUUUAAAAUUCUAGUUCUUGCUUCCAAAUCUCUACAUAAUGCUGCUCCCACCUAUCUAUCCUCUCUUAUACACAAGUAUGUCCCGUCUAGGCCCUUACAAUCUGCUGAAGAAUUACGUCUAUUUUCUGUCCGUACUCCCACCUCUGAUGCUCGCCUUCAAGACUUUUCCAGGGCUGCACCGUUCCUGUGGAACUCGCUUCCCUCCUCCGUUAGAAUCUCACCCAGUCUCCACUCCUUCAAAAAAAUCGUUAAAAACCCACUUCUUCAUAAAAGCGUAUCAAUUAAACUGUUAAUAGCUCCUGACUGAUUCCUCUUCUGCAAUUGUCACUAGUCUAAUACUAUCCUUACCUUUUUGUGUCAUUUUACCCCACUCCCUCUAGCAUGUAAGCUCAUUGAGCAGGGCCCUCAACCCCUCUGUUCCUGUGUGUCCAACUUGUCUGGUUACAGCUACAUAUCUGUUCGUCCACCCAUUGUAAAGCGCUGCGGAAUUUGACGGCGCUCUAUAAUUAUCAUAAUAAUAAUAAUACUGUAUUUUCCUGCCUGUGAUUAUUAAGUUAGUCUAUUGUGUUGAGAUAAUUGUAUCACAGGCAGAGGUGAGGAUUUCUGAUGUAACGAAUGGGAGUGUUGUAAUGUGUUGAUUGGUUGUUCUAUGGGCAGUACUAUGUUUGUAGAAUGUGAAUAAAAGAGGCUGUUUGUGCCAGUACAGUCAGUUCUUCUUCACCCUCAAUCUAGAGUCCUGUCUCUUAUUGGGGGAAUUGCUAUAUCACUACAAGGGAUUGCUAUGCUAGUCAUACUCUCUUGCUAUAAUCACUACUAAGUUCUUUUAAGAGCUUGUUCCUGUUUUGCUUGCUGAAGGAGUCUACGGUGGUUAUGAUGUCUGCUGGAGUGCUUGGAGCCCUCAGGAAGGAGCAUCCUUCAACGGAGGUACCCAGUCGGGGUGCCAGGUGAUCCGUUACACUAGUAGGCUACUAUUGGAGCAGGGAUAAGACAUUCUAGAUGAAACAGACUGUGCAAUAAAGGAACCUAGAAUAUCUAAAUCCCUUUUUUAAUCUACAAUCACAAUUCAUGUUUCUGAGUAUUUCUACACCGACCACCUCAGUUCUCAGUAAGUUCUAUUCAGGAAACUUACACCAUCCCCACUCCCAUUGCUGCACCAUCCAUGGGACUGUCACACUGGGUUGUAUCAAGUAUUUGCACUAAUAAAAUUCUUGGUUUACAUAUUUUGCCUUUACUUUGCCUGAGCUAUAUUCUUUGCAUUUUGUCAUAUAGCGUAUGCUCUAAUUAUUGCUUACAACAAUUUAUUUCCUGAACAACUUACUACUGCAACUUUAGGAUGACCACAAUCACUCAUAAAUCAUGUCUUCCCUUUGUGUUAAUAAAGCUCCACCUCCACUUCCAAUCAUUUCCAAGGAUGACUUAGUCACCACUCAUUAUUUCCAAACUUUCACAAGUAUUAUGUCAUCAUGUGGAUAACAGGGACCUAAUGGGAAAACAGGUACCUGAAGAAACAGCCAGUGAAGGGCAAUUCUGUGGGUGAAAACACCUUGUUAUAGAGAGAGAUCAGUGGAGAAGGGAUAGACUGGUUGAAGAUGUCAGGAAGUGAAGAACUUGAUUCAUCAACGAGUGUCUUUGAAUGCACAAAGUAACAAACCUAGAAGUGAAUGGAAUGUUGCCAACGAAUGUCAACGAAAAACAGAAAACUGAAGCUACAGUGGGUACAGGUCCACCAAAACAGGACAUUUACCAAUACACCAAAAUGAUGGACUGCACUCAUGUAGGUAGCAAAUUGGUGCUCCAAAUGCAGAUAAUCUCCAAAACAUUAACUGAAACAAUAUUUACAGUCCAGAAGCUCUUCAAGUGCAGUGUAAUAUAUACUCCCACACUCUACAAUAAUUAAACAACUUGCACAUAAUAAAACAAUUAGACAGCAAUUAAAUAAUUAUAUUUAAUUAAACAAUUAGUAUUGUUUCAGAAAUCAAAUUUACCAACAUGAUCUGUUCUGACAACUUUCUAUUUCUGCUUCAACAUGCAACAUACAUAGGAAAAUACAAAAUUUAGUAUAUAAAACACAAAGCCAUGGACACGUCUUGUUUUGCGUCAUUUAUCCAUACUGCUGGGGUGCAAUGGUGUUAUUUUGGAAUGGAACAUUUUUUGGAUACAAAUUAGACCUUUCUAUGCAGGUAUUGUCGUGUCUCUGUAUUUCAGCUCUUCUAAUGGCUGCUUCGUUCAGGGGAUAAAUCACCACGUCAUAUAACUCAUAUCAUCUUUAGUUGGUUCCAUGAACAUUUUGGAUCCAUGCUGCAAGUAAUACAAGCUAUUUUGGGAGCAAACAGGAGGUUCUACACAGUAUUUAAAUGGUGGAAAUAAUAAUGUAAACCAUGAAUGUAUCUAGAAAGACUUCAAGUGCAUUGGUGGCUGACUUACACUUGUGAGGGUUACACUCAUAGGUAUAUGGGCUGCUAUGCUUAUUUCAGACGCUCUUCAUUUACUGGCAUGUCAGGAGAUGGGCUGUGGAGAUGAAGCAUGAUGGUGAUGGUAUGUGUCUUCUCCACUGUCCCUCCAUGGUAUAUUAAUAACAGAACAGAGACCGAAUUAUUGACAAUGUUGAUAACAGACAGAGAAAGACACACUGCCACCACUUCACAGCUCUUCUCCGGUAUGUCAGUAGUCGCUGGCCAGGAGUGUGAAUCCUACCAAUCUAAGACUUGUACAUCUUGAUAUUUAUCUAAAAUGGAACUCUAAACAUGGCAUUAUAAAUUCAAAGACAAAAAAAAAAAUGUGUACGUGUAUUAUGGGAAACGAAUACAAUGUUAGGGUUCUUGAGACAUUUAUACAGCACUCGACUUUGGUCUUGUCUUUGUUUGUAUUGUUAUGUACACACUGUCACAUUGUUAUUAUUUAUUUAACUAGUCAAGUAUAAAAAAAAUAUAUAUAUAUCUCCUGAAUUACCUUAUUAUGUUAGAACAUUGAACAUUCCCUAAUGUGACCCUUAUUUUACUUUGCUUGGAAGAUAUAAUCGCUGUGAGAUUGUUUAAAGAUUAAAUUAAUUAAGGUGCUCAGAUAAUAUUGCCCAAUACCCUGUUGCGUAAGAUAUCCACAAUAGUUUUAAUCGCUCAAGACAGCGCGUAAAGAAAAUAAAAAUAACAUUUAUAGUUUGUGAAGUUCAACAUCAUGGGCAUCAGUCCAAAGAACAUAGAAAAAAAAAACAAAUCCUGCAGACAUUGUUCCUGCUUUUAGAAACCGCAGAGUUAAGGUUCACAUUUUUUUCGAAGCCUUCUAAAUAUUCACACUUUAGAGAUUUAACCUUAUCUCGGUCAAAAUCUUCCCUACAGAGUUUGUUUAAUUUUUUUUUUGUUUUCAUUUUACUCAUAGAAGUGCUAAAGGACAUUUCUAUUUUUAUUUUUUUGUACUUGUUUAUAUUUCAUUUUUAUUUUUUUACUUUUUUAAAUAGAAUUUGUACUUACUUUUUAUCUUCUUUUAUAACAUAAUUUGGGGGUUUGUGUUCUUAUUGUUUUGCAUGUUUUUUAAAAAAAACAAAACAAAAAAAAACACUUUUAUUAAAUAUAGUCUUUGUGAAUUUCCAAUCAAAGCUUUUUUUUUUUUAUAAAUUUUCCAGAGACUCCCAAACAUUAAAUGUAUGUCUCUGAUUGGUGUUUAUUUAAAAAAAAAAAAUAGUAGUUUAUAUUUCAGAAAAAGCAUAAUAUGGUUGAGCACUCUUCAAAGCAGCCACAAGUUUACUUGUGCUGAAGAUAUCCUAUACAUAAUAUGUAGAUUAAAGGCAUGAAUCAUUGAAGGUGUUAAAAUAACAUAAUACAUGGGACUGAUUCUGCUGGAAUAGACCUCAUGCACAAAUCUGAUUCUCAAUUGUAACUGUAAUGUAUAUAUUAACAUUUUUGCAAGCAUAUUCAAAAGUGUGAAUAAGUGUAUGUGAUCCAAGAGUCUAUCUCAAUAGCUCCCAACUGAGAUUUUUCUCCUUUUGGGCAGGAGACAAUUAGUACGAUGCAGAACAAAAACACUGAAUGUUUUUGAGUUUGAAACAUUGAAGGAAACUAUGUUACUGGUUUGUGCCCAGACCUACUAUUUAUUUAUUUUGGUUCCUCUGUUCCCCAUUUUUAUUUCCGAUUCAUGAAUUCCAUUACCCCACUAUCAUUUAUUUACGCCAGUCAGCUUCUCGAACUUUCAUUAUCCAUCCUCUCCUAUCCUCUAUUUCUAUUUUUUGUAAAUAAUUUAAACCUCUAUAGAGGUCUUACAAUGAUUCACAAGCUUUACAUAAUAAAAUAAAUCGAAGCCAAGUGGUAUGUAAGGUAGGAGACAUAUAAGAAAAGAGUAUCUAAAUCAGUCACAUUAAGCAAAACAGUCUGCUUGGUGGCACAUAUUUAUGGGAAAUAUUCUAUAGUUAUAGUGUUCUAGCAGCUUAAAUUUGGUGGAAUCCAGUUUAAAAAUAAGGUCCAGGCACUGAAAUGUUUUUUCGGCGCAUUUAUUGGAACCAGUGGAACACUGCAAUGUUUUGACCCCCAAGAGGGUCUUUGUCAAGCUAAGACCCAUCUUGUGGGUCUUCUCUUGGUUCCAAUAAAUGUGCCUAAAAAGUAUUGGGGUGCCUGGACCUCAUUCUUCAACUGGCAUCUAUAUUCUGUUGGGCUGGUGUUGGCCCAUGGUCUAGUUAAGCAUCCUCUUGGUUUAUGAAGACUGAGUGCAGUUCCUAUUAUCUCUCUGUAAACUUGGUAGAAUUACCGUAUAAUGUGGAAAUAACAGAAAACAACAGUAGUAGUGUGGUAACCCAUUUUCAUUCCCUAUGUUUGUCCCCUGUCCCGUCUUUUAUUUCAGUCUUACUUCAGUUUUAUUUCUAAUCCUCAAUAUCAGUCCACUUCUUCUUUUAUUCAUAGCUGUCCAGCCUCCUUGUUAGUGACCUUCCACCACCCUCCCUACCAGAACGGGUUUUCCUCAUUCCUUAAUUCCAUAACAACUCCCAUUCUUCCCCAGGCAUACCAGCUUGCAGUAUCUACUUCACACAAGAACUAUAGUAUGUCAUCACCUAACCUGCUACUACAACAAUGUUACCUCAAGUCAACCCUUUGCGUUCAACAUUUACUCAAGGUUCCAGACUUGAUAACUAUGCUAAAAAGCUUGAGAGGACUCUGGGUGCCAGUGGUAGCUCUUGUACUCUAGGUCCUUCAUGAUGUAAAACUAUUGCCUACAUUAUUGAAAUAAUAAACAAUAUCAUGAAGUCUAUAUGUCAUGUAGAUAGUUGUGGCAUCAGAAGGUUUUGGCCAUCUUGGUGAAGAUGCCCAGGUUUGUGUUUCUGAACAUUCAGUUGAUGUAUGACUCUAAAAAAAUUUUUUCUUGAUCGGAGGUUAUAAUACACACCUUACAACUUUUCUGUUUCACUCAACAGAUUGGCACUUAUUUGGUUGACCGAAGAUUUACAUCUGCAAUUGCUGUUUAAUGACAAAUUACAUCCUAAUUGACGUCCCAGGCCAUUUGACACGGCAAUUGAUGUCCUAAUUGACGUCCCAGGCCAUUUGUCAACAUUAUAGGGUUAAGUAUUUUCGGCGACAAACUUGGAUGCCUUUGAAUGCGUACUAGUUUGGCUUAAAAUCUGUAGAUUUUGGCAAUUUUGAUUGAUUUCUCUCUACCAAUUAAUUAAUAUAUAUUCAACCUUCUUCUAGGACCAGUGCAGCAAACCUCUAUUUUAAAAUAUAUACAGGCUGCCAGGAUAUAUUUUAUUAGCAACUUGUGAAAUAAAGGUCCAGUUAUUGCUACAGAAAGUGUUAUAUUUUAUUUCUGUACAUUUUAGCUAAAAAGUAUGAGUAUGGCAAAAAUCUAAGCGCUCAAUAUUUACCGCAGACAGGAAGGUUGGCUCACUUUAGAUUGUAAGGGGAAUUGAUGUAAUUUUAUAAUAUAUGAUGGUUGAAUUCCUUUACAGGGAAAGGUUAUACCCAAAAGUUUUAUAUUAUUUUUAAUAGUAACAUUGCUCCUGACCUACCGCUAGAUGUGAAGUGGCCCAUUUUUCCAAGCAAGACAAGGUAGUCUAUAAAACUCUUGUUAAUCAGAACUUUACAGUCGAAUGAAAAACCAAAGUGGGCAAUACAUGACUCCAAACGAAACCUUUCCAAACCACUGUGAGAAAACUCAAAUCACUCCAUGUGCAUUUUUUUUUUUUUUUUAAUGGGACUACAAACAAAUAAAUAAAUAAAAAGGAGAAAUGCCGGAUAAGUAGAAAAUGACGAACAAAUUUGUACAAUGUUUAAGCAUCUGUUGAAAAUCCGCAGAUCCCUCUAAAUGAAUGCAGAUGUUUCCUCAAAUUCUAGAUUGCUAUCAAAAAUGAAAAAGGCUUCUUUCAACACGAGAAUCAUAGGCAUAUCAUGGUAAAAUUUCUAAUGGGAACCUUGUUUGUUUGAAAAUGAGAACAACCAGUAGAAAGUACACUGGACACAUCUGUUCUUUUGUCCACUAAAUGGGUUUAAUCAUACUAAAAAAAAUCUAUAUAUUUAUAUGGAUAUUUAUAUGUAAGGACCUCUAAUGCGCACCUUUAUUGGCAAAAUAAAGUUUCCAAAACUUGAAGUGAAAUUGAAAGCACAUUAAAUCCGAAUAAAUUGGCUGGCGAUUUUCAAAAUUCACCAGUAAAUUUCACCCCGGAAAGAGGGCGAUCCUCACUUAACAACUGUUGUAGGAACGGAACUCGGUUGUUAAGGGAGGAGCAAUCUGUGUUAUAAAGAGCUAAUAUAAAAAAAUUACAAAAAAAUAAAAUAAUGCACGAUAUUGUAUACUAGUAUCUUCUUGAACAAACGCGUGUUAUAUUUGCCAACGGAAACAGUUUUCAGCUUCCAGGUUCCAAAAUUUUAAGUGCGCAUUAGAUUUGAUAGCGAAUUAGAUUCAAGUAAAUACGAUACAUAGUAUUUUCAGGGUUCUGCAUGUCCACUUGCCGCUAGCCACUGGCGAGGGAAAAUGUAUCCCUGGUGACUAGAAAUUCACGCAUGGUGAAUAUGCUAUGGCUUGCAAUGACUAGUAACUUUUAACAUCUGGCUAGUAGCACAGGACUUCAAAUUUAGAGCCCUGGUAUUUUAUCUUAAUAUAUAAUAUAUACACACAAACACAUAUUUAUACAUUAUGACAGAUCUAAGUUAAAAUUAAUACUCAUAUUGCUAGAAGCUUUCUAUGCCUCUUUAUAUGUAAAAUCUGUGUGCUUCCACUACAUAUCUCUAGAUUGUAAGCUUGUUUGAGCAGGGUCCUCUUCAACCUAUUGUUCCUUUAACUUUUUGAAAUUGUCUAAUUUAUUAUUACAUAAUUAAGGUGGCACUAUUUAAUGCCAAUAAUUGUAAUACUACUAUCAUUUUGUUAUAGAUGCCAGUUAAUUUUGCUAAUUAGGACAGUGCUGGUAUAGUCUGCACAUGGUAUAUUAUAGCUUCCUAUUUAUGAGUCCAAUGUGUCUACCUACAAUCUGGGAUGAGUCUUAGACCUGAAGGUAAACUCUUGGGUAGUAUAACAAAAACCACCAGCAACCCAGACCCUGAGGAGGCAGACCAAAGGGCAAGCUGGGAACUGGGACAUGUGUGAGUGGGGGUGAGGGGGAGUGAAGAAAAGUUCAAGGAAGGGAAGUCCUGUAUUUUGGGGGGUGGGGAUAUAGGCUAAGGGGGAUGGCCAUAUAUAUAGGGGGAGCCAUUUCCUUUUAUCCCCAGCCAUCUUAAUUAUCCGGCUUGGGAACAGCUUCCCGCCCCCCCCUCCCCUGUUAUGUUUGUAUUUAUGGUAUUAUCUGUAUAGGCUAAUUUCCUUUUCUUGUCACAGCAGGCGGAUGAAGAUCCUUGCCAAUCAGGGUUGAA